rnacentral:rRNA from 1 species
GAAUAUUGGACAAUGGGGGAAACCCUGAUCCAGCCAUGCCGCGCGAGUGAUGAAGGCCCUAGGGUUGUAAAGCUCUUUCGGCGGGGACGAUGAUGACGGUACCCGCAGAAGAAGCCCCGGCUAACUUCGUGCCAGCAGCCGCGGUAAUACGAAGGGGGCUAGCGUUGUCCGGAAUCACUGGGCGUAAAGCGCGCGUAGGCGGCCUAGCAAGUCAGGUGUGAAAGCCCGGGGCUCAACCUCGGAACUGCGCCUGAUACUGCUAAGCUCGAGACCGGAAGAGGAGAGCGGAAUUCCCAGUGUAGAGGUGAAAUUCGUAGAUAUUGGGAAGAACACCAGUGGCGAAGGCGGCUCUCUGGUCCGGUUCUGACGCUGAGGCGCGAAAGCGUGGGGAGCAAACAGG